rnacentral:rRNA from 1 species
CCUACGGGAGGCAGCAGUGGGGAAUUUUGGACAAUGGGCGAAAGCCUGAUCCAGCAAUGCCGCGUGCAGGAUGAAGGCCUUCGGGUUGUAAACUGCUUUUGUACGGAACGAAACGGUUCGCCUUAAUACGGUGGGCUAAUGACGGUACCGUAAGAAUAAGCACCGGCUAACUACGUGCCAGCAGCCGCGGUAAUACGUAGGGUGCGAGCGUUAAUCGGAAUUACUGGGCGUAAAGCGUGCGCAGGCGGUUAUAUAAGACAGAUGUGAAAUCCCUGGGCUCAACCUGGGACCUGCAUUUGUGACUGUAUAGCUAGAGUACGGUAGAGGGGGAGUGGAAUUCCGCGUGUAGCAGUGAAAUGCGUAGAUAUGCGGAGGAACACCGAUGGCGAAGGCAAUCCCCUGGACCUGUACUGACGCUCAUGCACGAAAGCGUGGGGAGCAAACAGGAUUAGAUACCCUGGUAGUCCACGCCCUAAACGAUGUCAACUGGUUGUUGGGUCUUCACUGACUCAGUAACGAAGCUAACGCGUGAAGUUGACCGCCUGGGGAGUAACGGCCGCAAGGUUGAAACUUCAAAUGAAUUGACGG